rnacentral:rRNA from 1 species
AACGAACGCUGGCGGCAUGCCUAACACAUGCAAGUCGAACGAGACCUUCGGGUCUAGUGGCGCACGGGUGCGUAACGCGUGGGAACCUGCCCUUAGUUUCGGAAUAACGCCCCGAAAGGGGUGCUAAUACCGGAUAAUGUCUUCGGACCAAAGAUUUAUCGCCAUUGGAUGGGCCCGCGUUGGAUUAGCUAGUUGGUAUGGUAAAAGCCUACCAAGGCGACGAUCCAUAGCUGGUCUGAGAGGAUGAUCAGCAAAACUGGAAAUGAGACAAGGCCCAGACUACUACGGGAGGCAGAAGUGGGGAAUAUUGGAAAAUGGGAGAAAGGCUGAUCCAGCAAUGCCGCGUGAGUGAUGAAGGCAUUAGGGUUGUAAAGCUCUUUUACCCGGGAUGAUAAUGACAGUACCGGGAGAAGAAGAUCCGGCUGGCUCCGU